rnacentral:misc_RNA from 1 species
UCAAACUUGGUCAUUUAGAGGAAGUAAAAGUCGUAACAAGGUUUCCGUAGGUGAACCUGCGGAAGGAUCAUUCAUAAUAGAGUGUAUAUUAAUAUGGCGCUCUAAAAACAUCCCAUAUCCACCUUGUGUGCAAUGUUAUUCACUUCUGCUCCAUCUUUUUGGUAGAGUAUGAAGGGAAAUUAUUUAUAUCAACUCUUUUUUAUUAUUAUUGUCUGUAACAUGUGAUGAAUUAUUUACAAACGUAAUUCAAAACACAACUUUCAACAACGGAUCUCUUGGCUCUCGCAUCGAUGAAGAACGCAGC